ensembl:misc_RNA Metazoa_SRP Metazoan signal recognition particle RNA
GCCGGACGUGGUGACGCGCGCCUGUAGUCCCAGCUACUUGAGAGGCUGAGGCAGGAGAAUCACUUGAACCCAGGAGGCAGUGAUUGCAGUGAGCCGAGAUUGUGCCACUGCACUCCAGCCUGGGUGACAGAGUGAGACUCUGUCUCAA